rnacentral:lncRNA from 1 species
AACAAACGGAGACAGGUCAAUUUUGGAGUCAAAAUGGGAAUCGUGGGACCCACACCAAACUGUCCGAAUUUGACUCCGUCAAGAGACCCUAAACAACACUCCAAACUUGUGUUCCAAAAUGGAACACAAUCCGAGGCUCAAAACACAGCAAAAACCAACAAGCAAGAAACCACACUUUAAUAAACUAAAAGAAACCCUAUAGCAGCAGUC